rnacentral:tRNA from 2 species
AGGGCUAUAGCUCAACUGGUUAGAGCACCACACUGAUAAUGUGGAGGUUAUCAGUUCAAGUCUGAUUAGCCCUA